rnacentral:rRNA from 1 species
GACGAACGCUGGCGGCGUGCUUAACACAUGCAAGUCGAACGGAAAGGCCCUGCUUUUGUGGGGUGCUCGAGUGGCGAACGGGUGAGUAACACGUGAGUAACCUGCCCUUGACUUUGGGAUAACUUCAGGAAACUGGGGCUAAUACCGGAUAGGAGCUCCUGCUGCAUGGUGGGGGUUGGAAAGUUUCGGCGGUUGGGGAUGGACUCGCGGCUUAUCAGCUUGUUGGUGGGGUAGUGGCUUACCAAGGCUUUGACGGGUAGCCGGCCUGAGAGGGUGACCGGCCACAUUGGGACUGAGAUACGGCCCAGACUCCUACGGGAGGCAGCAGUGGGGAAUAUUGCACAAUGGGCGGAAGCCUGAUGCAGCAACGCCGCGUGCCGGAUGACGGCCUUCGGGUUGUAACCCGCUUUCGCCUGUGACGAAGCGUGAGUGACGGUAAUGGGUAAAGAAGCACCGGCUAACUACGUG